AGAGUUUGAUCAUGGCUCAGAUUGAACGCUGGCGGCAGGCCUAACACAUGCAAGUCGAGCGGAUGAGGGGAGCUUGCUCCCUGAUUUAGCGGCGGACGGGUGAGUAAUGCCUAGGAAUCUGCCUGGUAGUGGGGGAUAACGUUCCGAAAGGAACGCUAAUACCGCAUACGUCCUACGGGAGAAAGCAGGGGACCUUCGGGCCUUGCGCUAUCAGAUGAGCCUAGGUCGGAUUAGCUAGUUGGUGAGGUAAUGGCUCACCAAGGCGACGAUCCGUAACUGGUCUGAGAGGAUGAUCAGUCACACUGGAACUGAGACACGGUCCAGACUCCUACGGGAGGCAGCAGUGGGGAAUAUUGGACAAUGGGCGAAAGCCUGAUCCAGCCAUGCCGCGUGUGUGAAGAAGGUCUUCGGAUUGUAAAGCACUUUAAGUUGGGAGGAAGGGCUGCUGGUUAAUACCCUGCAGUUUUGACGUUACCAACAGAAUAAGCACCGGCUAACUUCGUGCCAGCAGCCGCGGUAAUACGAAGGGUGCAAGCGUUAAUCGGAAUUACUGGGCGUAAAGCGCGCGUAGGUGGUUUUGUAAGUUGGAGGUGAAAUCCCCGGGCUCAACCUGGGAACUGCCUCCAAAACUGCAUGACUAGAGUACGGUAGAGGGUGGUGGAAUUUCCUGUGUAGCGGUGAAAUGCGUAGAUAUAGGAAGGAACACCAGUGGCGAAGGCGACCACCUGGACUGAUACUGACACUGAGGUGCGAAAGCGUGGGGAGCAAACAGGAUUAGAUACCCUGGUAGUCCACGCCGUAAACGAUGUCAACUAGCCG
rnacentral:rRNA from 1 species